rnacentral:tRNA from 1 species
GGUCUGUGGCUCAGUGGUAGAAUGCUUGCCUAGCAUGUGUGAGGCACUGGGUUUGAUUCUCAGCACCA